CACGUAGGCACCAAGCGUUGUCCGGAAUUACUGGGCGUAAAGAGCGCGCAGGCGGUCGAUCAAGUCGCGUGUGAAAGCCCCCGGCUCAACUGGGGAGGGUCACGCGAUACUGAUCGACUCGAAGGCAGGAGAGGGUAGUGGAAUUCCCGGUGUAGUGGUGAAAUGCGUAGAUAUCGGGAGGAACACCAGUGGCGAAGGCGACUACCUGGCCUGUUCUUGACGCUGAGGCGCGAAAGCUAGGGGAGCAAACGGG
rnacentral:rRNA from 1 species